AUUAUAAGUAUCUGCUAUUUUAGAGGCAAUCAGGGCAGACCGUCUUUACUGUGACUGAUAUCUGGAUGGUGAAAUUCGGUUGGUGGAACUUGGGCUUCUAGCUCUGGAGUGUUUGCUGUUAGUUUCUAUCAAGGGAGCUUUGGGAACAGACUGUACUAGCAUAUCAGCAGAAUUGUUUUACUAAUUAUUGGAGAGAGAUUGGUGUGUUCAGUGAAAAUUAAGAUUAUCUAACAAAGUGUGAUUGUGCCUGUGGAAUUAAAAGCAGUGUAGAUUGAUUAAUUAGAAAGUGUAAUACAUUAUUGCUGGGUAAUUAAUUGCUUGAUUGUUUAGGACAAAGUAGAGAAAAAAGCACAACAGUUAGAUUCAGUGUUACAGUCUUAAUGUAAGUGUGAGGGAGAACUUUGUGUGCUGACAAAUUUUGGCAAACAUAUAUCGUACGAGUUUGUGCAUACAUUUCUGCAAAGUGUUUUGGAGUUUUAAAUUGCAGUUGUGAUAAAUUGAUCUCAUUUGGAUUAAUAUUGUGGAAUAUUUAAACACCUCAGGUGGGAUGAAGCUGAUCUGACCCUAAUGACCCUGCCCAGACUGAUGUGACAUGGUGAGAUGAACGGAAGAUGUUGCCCAGCCGGUCCCCAGUCACAUCAUCUGCAGUGAAUGAUGGGUGAGAAACGGUUCCCAGCCCUGCGAUGUCUCACCUUUCUUUGGUGGUGUGUAGCCUUUCUUUGGUGGUGUGUAGCCGCAGUAAUCGCCUCUGAACACAAACACGACUUCCCCAAGGAGUUUGACCUCAGAUAUACUUCUUAUC